AACGAACGCUGGCGGCGCGUCUUAAGCAUGCAAGUCGAACGGCAAGAGAGAAGCUUGCUUCUCUCCUAGAGUGGCGGACUGGUGAGGAACACGUGGGUAAUCUGCCCUUAAGAUGGGGAUAGCUGCUAGAAAUAGCAGGUAAUACCGAAUGCACUCGGCACUUCAUAAGAGGUGUUGAGGAAAGGAAGCUAUGGCUUCGCUUGAGGAUGAGCUUGCGUCCCAUUAGCUAGUUGGUGAGGUAAAGGCCCACCAAGGCGACGAUGGGUAUCCGGCCUGAGAGGGUGAUCGGACACAUUGGGACUGAGAUACGGCCCAAACUCCUACGGGAGGCAGCAGCUAAGAAUAUUCCGCAAUGGACGGAAGUCUGACGGAGCGACGCCGCGUGGAUGAAGAAGGCUGAAAAGUUGUAAAAUCCUUUUGUUGAUGAAGAAUAAGGGUGAGAGGGAAUGCUCAUCUGAUGACGGUAAUCGACGAAUAAGCCCCGGCUAAUUACGUGCCAGCAGCCGCGGUAACACGUAAGGGGCGAGCGUUGUUCGGAAUUAUUGGGCGUAAAGGGCAUGUAGGCGGUUGUGUAAGCCUGGUGUGAAAUCCUGGGGCUUAACCCCAGAAUAGCAUUGGGUACUGCACGACUUGAAUUACGGAAGGGAAACUGGAAUUCCAAGUGUAGGGGUGGAAUCUGUAGAUAUUUGGAAGAACACCGGUGGCGAAGGCGGGUUUCUGGCCGAUAAUUGACGCUGAGAUGCGAAAGUGUGGGGAUCGAACAGG
rnacentral:rRNA from 1 species